rnacentral:rRNA from 1 species
GAUCCUGCCAGUAGUCAUAUGCUUGUCUCAAAGAUUAAGCCAUGCAUGUCUAAGUCCAAGCUGUGUCUUGACACGGCGAGACCGCGGACGGCUCAUUAAAUCAGUCGUGGUCCAAAUGGGCCAGGAAAGAGUUACUUGGAUAACUGUGGUAAUUCCAGAGCUAAUACAUGCAACAAGACCUUGAUGCCGGGGCCUUCGGGCUUGGUGGGUGCGUGCGUUGGAGCUUGUCUUCUUCGUCGUGCUCGGGCAGAAGGGUGCUUUUAUUAGACCAAACCGCUGGGGGAGUCGGUCCUUGCAUCAACGUCGGUGCGCAAGUGCUGGCGGCUCGGGCUCGAUCUCUCGUUUCCCACGAUGUGGUGACUCUGGAUAACCAUCAUGCCGAGCGCACGUACUGGCUUUGUGCCAGACGGCGCCGCCACUUUCGAGUGUCUGCCUUAUCAGCUUUCAAUCGCUCGCUACACGCGACCGGUGGCUUUGACGGGUAACGGAGAAUCAGGGUUUGAUUCCGGAGAGGCAGCCUGAGAGACGGCUACCACGUCCAAGGACGGCAGCAGGCACGCAAAUUACCCAAUCCCAGCACAUGGGGGAGGUAGUGACGAAAUAUAACGAUGCGGGCGCCCCUCGCGGGCCCCGCAAUCGGAAUGAGCUUGUGGUAAAGAUCCAGCUGAGAACCUACUGAAGGGCAAGUCUGGUGCCAGCAGCCGCG